rnacentral:lncRNA from 1 species
CACAAUUCUUUCCCCUGUCUUAAAUGCCUCAAUUUUGCCAUCAUAUGUUUCUCUUGAUUAUUUUUCUCAACGUUUCCAUGUAGCCAUCCCACCCCAUCCCAUGUCUCUCUCCCUGUCCCAACUGACACACUCUUUAUCUCUCACCCCAAGGCCUCAGCCCUCAUAGGUCUUAACCAUCUAUCUCCCUUCCACUUUGUAUUUAUUUUAACAUAUUUCUAGUUACACUGUUUAAUUUCUUUUAUUUCAUCAUGUUCGAUUUAUUUUUCUAUUUUUAUUUUAUUCUACUUUAUUUUCAAAAAUUAUUUAUGUUUUUAAUUUUUUUAAUAUUUUCUUUUGUUAUAUUUUAUCACUUAUUCUUGUUUUCUUCUUGUUUAUGCUGUUUUGUUUUUAUUUCUUCUUUGUUGAUUCUAUAUUCUAUGUUUUCUUAUGUGCAUUUUCCAAAGGGAACUUAAAGGCUUUUAAAUAUGCUCAUUUUAUUUUUCCACUUUUAUUUUAUAUCACUUAUUAUUUAUGAAAUAUCUCCUUCUCUAUGUUUAUAUCUUGGUUCUUACAUGCAUGCAUUUUAAUAUCCUAUUCAUCUCUUUAAUUUUUUUAUUUUUUUGAUGCAAGUACAUAUUUUAUCAAUUUCUAGUUGAAAUUAUUUUGUCAAACCUAAAAACCAGAUCCUUUCUUUAGCAGUCCUGACCUAGUUACCAUUUCUAUUUUAGUCCAUCAUACAUAGUUUUGGGUCUUUGUAUUUUGUCAUGCAAUUAGGCAUACUUCUAAACACAAGUUAGCAUGUUUUACUAAUAGAUCAUGGAUUAAUCAUGAAAUAAACAAAGACUAUAAAUAAAAUUUCCAGUCCAAUUGUUGUCAAUUUAUAGGGAAAACCUAAAUUUCCCCAAUUACUUUAUCAGAAGUGUGAAAUCAAAUUUGGUCCAACUAUAAUUACC